rnacentral:rRNA from 1 species
GUAAGUUUUAUGGUCAAGCUACUAAGGGCGUACGGUGGAUGCCUUGGCGCCAGAAGGCGAUGAAGGACGUGGCAAGCUGCGAUAAGCCUCGGGGAGCCGCAAGCAGGCUUUGAUCCGGGGAUUUCCGAAUGGGGAAACCCAUCCCGAUGAACUCGGGAUACGGCCCGCUGAAUCCAUAGGCGGGUGCGAGCGAACCCAGGGAAGUGAACCAUCUCAGUACCUGGAGGAAAAUAAAUCAACCGAGAUUCCGAGAGUAGCGGCGAGCGAAAUCGGAACAGCCCAAACCCCGAUUCUUUGAAUCGGGGGGUUGUAGGACCGCGUGAGUAGAGUUACCAAUCCGGAAGCUAGGUGAAUCUGCUGGAAAGCAGGGCCAUAGAGUGUGAGAGCCACGUAACCAAAAGCUUACCGGACUCGAAGCGGGAUCCUGAGUACCACGGGACACGGGAAAUCCCGUGGGAAACUGGGGAGACCACUCUCCAAGGCUAAAUACUCUCUGGCGACCGAUAGUGAACUAGUACCGCGAGGGAAAGGUGAAAAGCACCCCUGCGAGGGGAGUGAAAUAGAACCUGAAACCGUAUGCUUACAAGCAGUCGGAGGGCUAUCCCGACUUCGGUCGGGACGCCUGACGGCGUGCCUCUUGCUUAAUGAGCCGGCUAGUUAUUCUCACAGGCGAGGUUAAGCGUUAGCGAGCCGUAGCGAAAGCGAGUCCGAAUAGGGCGUAUAGUCUGUGGGAAUAGACGCGAAGCGGGAUGAUCUACCCUUGGCCAGGUUGAAGGCCGCUUAACCGCGGCUGGAGGACCGAACCGGUGUUGGUUGAAAACAGCUCGGAUGAGCUGAGGGUAGGGGUGAAAGGCUAAUCAAAUUCCGUGAUAGCUCGUUCUCCCCGAAAUGCCUUUAGGGGCAGCCUCGUGUGGUCUGCCGCGGUGGUAGAGCACUGGAUGGACUAGGGACCAACCAAGGUUACCGAAUCCAACCAAACUGCGAAUGCCGCGGACAGCAGCACGGGAGUGAGACUACGAGGGAUAAGCUUCGUGGUCGAGAGGGAAAGAACCCAGACCGACAGCUAAGGUCCCGGACUGCAGGCUAAGUGGGAAAGGACGUGUGAUCGCUCGGACAGCCAGGAGGUUGGCUUAGAAGCAGCCAUCCUUUAAAGAAAGCGUAACAGCUCACUGGUCAAGCGAUCAUGCACCGACAAUCCAACGGGGCUUAAGCCUGCGACCGAAGCUUCGGAAUGUGCGACGGCGAAAGCCGCUGCACUUUGGUAGGGGAGCAUUGUGUGGAGUCUUAAGGCGGACCGAGAGGACUGCUGAACGCCACGCAAGAGACCCUGCCGGCAUAAGUAGCGAUAAACACGAUGAGAACUCGUGUCGCCGAAAGUCUAAGGUUUCCUGAGGAAGGUUAAUCCGCUCAGGGUUAGGCGGGACCUAAGGUGAGGCCGAGAGGCGUAGCCGAUGGACAGCAGGUCAACAUUCCUGCCCCACCUAGCGGGCGUUAUCACGAUGGGGUGACGCAGAAGGAUACAGGAGUCGGGCGAUGGAAAUCCCGAUGGGUCUGUGUAAGCCGGAUCCCGCAGGAAAAUCCACGGGGUCAUUCAACGGUGAGACAGGUCCCGAGGCCGCACGGCCACAAAGUCCUGGAUUUCACGCUGCCAGGAAAAACCUCUAAGGAGUCCGCUGGGUGCCCGUACCACAAACCGACACAGGUAGACGAGGACAAUCUCCACAGGCGCUCGAGAGAACACUCGCUCAGGAACUAGGCACAUUAGCCCCGUAACUUCGGGAGAAGGGGUGCCCCGGUAGGGUUGAUAGCCCGAGGGGGCCGCAGUGAAACGCGCUCUGCGACUGUUUAACAAAAACACAGCUCUCUGCAAAGUCGAAUACGACGUAUAGGGGGUGACGCCUGCCCGGUGCCGGAAGGUUAAAGCAAGGGCUUAGCCUCAAGCAAUUGGGACGAAGGCCCGAACUGAAGCCCCGGUGAACGGCGGCCGUAACUAUAACGGUCCUAAGGUAGCGAAAUUCCUUGUCGGGUAAGUUCCGACCUGCACGAAUGGCGUAACGACAGAGCGACUGUCUUGGCGAGUGACUCGGCGAAUUUGUGGUUCCGGUGAAGACGCCGGAUGCCCGCACCUAGACGGAAAGACCCCGUGCACCUUUACUGCACUCUGGCCAUGAUUAACGGGACGGUCUGCGUAGCAUAGGUGGGAGCCUGGGAACCCCUGGUUUCGGCUGGGGGGGAGGCGCCAGUGAAAUACCACCCUGAUCGUUCUGUCGCUCUAACCUACGGCCCGCGACGGGUCGGGGGACACGGCCAGACGGGUAGUUUGACUGGGGCGGUCGCCUCCUAAACGGUAACGGAGGCGCCCAAAGCUCGGCUCAAGCGGAUUGGAAACCCGCUGCGGAGUGCAAGAGCAUAAGCCGGGUUAACUGCGAGACACACAGGUCGAGCAGGAGCGAAAGCUGGGUCUAGUGAUCCGGUGGUCCCGCGUGGAAGGGCCAUCGCUCAACGGAUAAAAGGUACGCCGGGGAUAACAGGCUGAUCUAAGCCAAGAGUUCACAUCGACGCUUAGGUUUGGCACCUCGAUGUCGGCUCAUCGCAUCCUGGGGCUGUAGAAGGUCCCAAGGGUUAGGCUGUUCGCCUAUUAAAGCGGUACGUGAGCUGGGUUCAGAACGUCGCGAGACAGUUCGGUCCCUAUCUGGUGUGGGCGCAGGAGACUUGAGAGGAGCUGUCCCUAGUACGAGAGGACCGGGAUGGACGGACCUCUUGUGAUCGAGCUGUCCCGCCAGGGGCAUCGCUCGGUAGCGAAGUCCGGAAGAGAUAAUUGCUGAAUGCAUCUAAGCAAGAAGCUCGCCUCAAGAUAAGGUCUCCCAAUGCCGCUUCGGCGGCAUAAGAAGGCCGGUCGAAGACUACGACCUUGAUAGGCGGGAGGUGGAAGCGCAGUAAUGCGUGCAGCUGACCCGUACUAAUCGGCCGUUCGGCUUGACCAUAAAAC